CGUUCCUACGGGGCGCAGCAGUAGGGAAUAUUGCUCAAUGGGGGAAACCCUGAAGCAGCAACGCCGCGUGGAGGAUGAAGGUUUUCGGAUUGUAAACUCCUUUUGUUAGAGAAGAUAAUGACGGUAUCUAACGAAUAAGCACCGGCUAACUCCGUGCCAGCAGCCGCGGUCAUACGGAGGGUGCAAGCGUUACUCGGAAUCACUGGGCGUAACGAGCGCGUAGGCGGGAUAGCAAGUCAGAUGUGAAAUUCUAUGGCUUAACCAUA
rnacentral:rRNA from 1 species